GAUGAACGCUGGCGGCGUGCCUAAUACAUGCAAGUCGAGCGAACUGAUUAGAAGCUUGCUUCUAUGACGUUAGCGGCGGACGGGUGAGUAACACGUGGGCAACCUGCCUGUAAGACUGGGAUAACUUCGGGAAACCGAAGCUAAUACCGGAUAGGAUCUUCUCCUUCAUGGGAGAUGAUUAAAAGAUGGUUUCGGCUAUCACUUACAGAUGGGCCCGCGGUGCAUUAGCUAGUUGGUGAGGUAACGGCUCACCAAGGCAACGAUGCAUAGCCGACCUGAGAGGGUGAUCGGCCACACUGGGACUGAGACACGGCCCAGACUCCUACGGGAGGCAGCAGUAGGGAAUCUUCCGCAAUGGACGAAAGUCUGACGGAGCAACGCCGCGUGAGUGAUGAAGGCUUUCGGGUCGUAAAACUCUGUUGUUAGGGAAGAACAAGUACGAGAGUAACUGCUCGUACCUUGACGGUACCUAACCAGAAAGCCACGGCUAACUACGUGCCAGCCGCCGCCGUAAAAC
rnacentral:rRNA from 1 species